UACGGGGGGGGCAAGCGUUGUUCGGAAUUAAUGGGAGUAAAGUGUGCGUAGGCGGCUUUGUAAGAUAGAUGUGAAAUCCCGGGGCUCAACCCUGGAACUGCAUUCGAUACUGCUUUGCUUGAGUACUGGAGAGGAGACUGGAAUUUACGGUGUAGCAGUGAAAUGCGUAGAUAUCGUAAGGAAGACCAGUGGCGAAGGCGAGUCUCUGGACAGUUACUGACGCUGAGGCACGAAGGCCAGGGGAGCAAACGGG
rnacentral:rRNA from 1 species